CUACGGGGCGCAGCAGUGGGGAAUAUUGCACAAUGGGCGCAAGCCUGAUGCAGCCAUGCCGCGUGUAUGAAGAAGGCCUUCGGGUUGUAAAGUACUUUCAGCGGGGAGGAGGGGAGUAAAGUUAAUACCUUUGCUCAUUGACGUUACCCGCAGAAGAAGCACCGGCUAAAUCCGUGCCAGCAGCCGCGGUAAUACGGAGGGUGCAAGCGUUAAUCGGAAUUACUGGGCGUAAAGCGCACGCAGGCGGUUUGUUAAGUCAGAUGUGAAAUCCCCGGGCUCAACCUGGGAACUGCAUCUGAUACUGGCAAGCUUGAGUCUCGUAGAGGGGGGUAGAAUUCCAGGUGUAGCGGUGAGAUGCGUAGAGAUCUGGAGGAAUACCGGUGGCGAAGGCGGCCCCCUGGACGAAGACUGACGCUCAGGUGCGAAAGCGUGGGGAACAAACAGGAUUAGAUACCCCUGUAGUC
rnacentral:rRNA from 1 species